GGUGAACGCUGGCGGCGUGCUUAAGACAUGCAAGUCGAACGCAGUCUUCGGACUGAGUGGCGCACGGGUGAGUAACACGUAACUGACCUACCCCCAAGUCGCGGAUAACUGGCCGAAAGGUCAGCUAAUACGUGAUGUGAUGUCCCCUUUCUGGGGGGCCAUUAAAGGUUUACUGCUUGGGGAUGGGGUUGCGUUCCAUCAGCUAGUUGGCGGGGUAAAGGCCCACCAAGGCAACGACGGAUAGCCGGCCGGAGAGGGUGGCCGGCCACAGGGGCAUUGAGACACGGGUCCCACUCCUACGGGAGGCAGCAGUUAGGAAUCUUCCACAAUGGGCGAAAGCCUGAUGGAGCGACGCCGCGUGAGGGAUGAUGGUUCUCGGAUCGUAAACCUCUGAAUCAGGGACGAAAGACGCGUAAGCGGGAUGACGGUACCUGAGUAAUAGCACCGGCUAACUCCGUGCCAGCCGCCGCAGUAAUAC
rnacentral:rRNA from 1 species